rnacentral:rRNA from 1 species
CAGUAGCCGCGGGAAUACGUAGGGUGCAAGCGUUAAUCGGAAUUACUGGGCGUAAAGCGUGCGCAGGCGGUUAUAUAAGACAGAUGUGAAAUCCCCGGGCUCAACCUGGGAACUGCAUUUGUGACUGUAUAGCUAGAGUACGGCAGAGGGGGAUGGAAUUCCGCGUGUAGCAAUGAAAUGCGUAGAUAUGCGGAGGAACACCGAUGGCGAAGGCAAUCCCCUGGGCCUGUACUGACGCUCAUGCACGAAAGCGUGGGGAGCAAACAGGAUUAGAUACCCCUGUAGUCCCUGUCUCUUAUAC